rnacentral:rRNA from 1 species
CUUGCGCUGGGCGAAAGCCUGACGCAGCCAUGCCGCGUGAAUGAUGAAGGUCUUAGGAUUGUAAAAUUCUUUCACCGGGGACGAUAAUGACGGUACCCGGAGAAGAAGCCCCGGCUAACUUCGUGCCAGCAGCCGCGGUAC